rnacentral:pre_miRNA from 1 species
CUUUAUCAAAUUUGUAUAGAGUUGGAACAGCUAACCUUCGUUUGCCGUUAGGGACGCUGUUCUAACUCCAUACAAAUUUCAGUUA